AGGAGCAGUGGGGAGGGGGAUGGAAGCCAGAUGGAAAGGAAGGGAAGGGGAGGGGAGGGAAGGGGGAUGGAAGGAGGGGAGGAAGGGGCCCUACAUCUCUGCUUGGUGGUUCCUGACAAAUCAGAGAAUGAUUCAAAGUUAGACAAGAUCCCAAACAAGAGGCUCUUCCACUUUCCAGCCCAGCCAGUGCCUGCGAUGACUGCCACUCUCCGCCCCUACCUGAGUGCCCUAAGGGCCACACCGCAGGCUGCCCUCUGCCUGGAAAACUCUUCCUCCCAAGUGGUGGAACGACACAACGAGACUGAAGUGGAAGUCAGGAGUAGCAAAAAACUCCUGUUACAACCUGUGACCAUCAGCAGAAAUGAAACAAAAAGAUUCUGAUUGAGGGCUCCAUCAACCCUGCCCGGGUCAGCAUCGCUGUGAAACAGGCUGAUGACAUUGAGAAGAUUUUAUGCCACAAGUGUAUGUGCUUCAUGAUGAUGUGAGCAGAGAACUUCUUUAUCCUUCGAAGGAAACCAGGGGAGGGGAAUGAUAUUAGUUUUCAGAUCACCAACUUCCACACAGAGCAAAUGUACAAACACAAGCUGGUAGACAUUGUGAUUCACUUCAUGGAGAAGACUGAUAAGGAGAUCAGUGAGAUGAAGCUGUCAGUCAAUGCCCGUGCACGCACUGUGGCUGAGGAGUUCCUCAAGAACUUUUAAACCAUCUGGCUGGAACUUGUGGCCUUCCCCCCUACUCCCCUGUGUUCGUGAAGGUGUCCUGGAGUCACUCCCCGGAGGACCAGCAGCAGCAGCAGCAGCAACAGUGGGGGUGGCAGCAGGGAGCUGGGUCAGGUGGGCGUUGGAUGUGGGAGGGGGUGGUGUGCUUGCUACCUGUGCAAGAAAUCAGCAGUGGACCUGCCUCAAGGCCACACAUGCCUGGUCAGGCUGGCGCUGGCUUCUGAUGUUCAGUCCCCUGGGCCGGGACAGAUUUUUUUUAAUGUCUUAAAACUUAACUCUGUGCUUGUAGGAGACUUUAACCUUUUUUUCUUUUUUCUUUUUUUUUUUAAAACAACCUCCACCUCCAGUGGCUCUGACUGGUCCCAGUGAUUGUACCUAAUUGGUCGCUGUGGGUCUGGGCAGGCCUGGAGCCAGAAGGCGACCACCUUACCUCCCCCAUGCCACCCUGGGGUGGGGGGGGGUGGGCUCCAGCUCCUCUCCUUUAUCCUUUUAUUCCCAGGCCUCCUUGGGCCCAGUCUAACUGUGGGGACCCUCUGCCAGCUUCCUGAGGUUUGCCUAAAGAUGGCCAUCCAGCAAUGGUUGGGGACAGGGCUGAAUUGAUGACCUCCAGUCAUGGCUAGGGGUGGGAACUCAAAAGCCAGGCAACUUCUGGUUACAGCGACCAUUUACAGCCCUCCCAGCUGAGAGGGGUCCCUGUUAGGCCUUGUCUGUCAGUGUGGUGCCUGCACUACAGGUAGAGAGAUCAGCCCUCCUCCAGAACCUCCUGGCCAGGCCCUCCUCCUGCCUGCUCUGGCUCCUCUGCUCCCACGCCUGCUGUUCCUUUUCUGAUUCUGGUGGAUCCUCCCUCACCCAAUUAAAAUCUUUUCUUGUCCCUUUGGGGCUGCAAAAAAAAAAAAAAAAAA